rnacentral:rRNA from 1 species
AUGCACGCUGGCGGCGUGCCUAAUACCUGCCAGUCGAGCGAACAGACGAGGAGCUUGCUCCUCUGACGUUAGCGGCGGACGGGUGAGUAACACGUGGAUAACCUACCUAUAAGACUGGGAUAACUUCGGGAAACCGGAGCUAAUACCGGAUAAUAUAUUGAACCGCAUGGUUCAAUAGUGAAAGACGGUUUUGCUGUCACUUAUAGAUGGAUCCGCGCCGCAUUAGCUAGUUGGUAAGGUAACGGCUUACCAAGGCGACGAUGCGUAGCCGACCUGAGAGGGUGAUCGGCCACACUGGAACUGAGACACGGUCCAGACUCCUACGGGAGGCAGCAGUAGGGAAUCUUCCGCAAAGGGCGAAAGCCUGACGGAGCAACGCCGCGUGAGUGAUGAAGGUCUUCGGAUCGUAAAACUCUGUUAUUAGGGAAGAACAAAUGUGUAAGUAACUAUGCACGUCUUGACGGUACCUAAUCAGAAAGCCACGGCUAACUACGUG